GGACUUAUUGCACAGUGGUUUGAGUGUUGGACUAAAGAUCUGGAAGUCCAGGGUUCAAAUCUCCUUUUGGUCA